UUUUGAAUGUUAUAAUUCUUGACGUCUGAUUUGUGUCUAUUUAUUCUUUUGUGUAGAGACUGUCUUGUUUGGACAAUGUACAUAGCUGCACCACAGGAGUGCUUUAGGU